GGGGGGCUGAGGGUCUUUUAGUUGCCAGCACGCCCUCCUCUUCUCAUGAACACAGGAGGGAGAGCCGUGGAGGCAGGGAUGCUGGAGAGGGGUCCCUAGGCAUCAGGAAUCCCGGGCUCAUGCAAGUCAGGGGCCCCUGAGCUCUGUUGGUUCCAGUACUGGGUCAGGGGCAGUGCCGAACAGAACAGACCAUUCACCAUUCGGGAAGCUAAGAGGGAAUCCUUCUGGGCAAAUGAUUUUAGGGUGCAGUACUGCGGGGAAGCCUUGGCAGGAGUGCCAGUCACUCACAUUUCUGCACCAUGGAGGGGCAGGGCAGGCUGCCAGUGACCUUUUAGCUCAGUUACGGAAGCCUCGGCUUCUAGUAAACGAUGCUUCAUAGGGAAUCGAGGUCCUGGGUCCAGGAAAGCGUGUCUGCAGGCAGGGAAAGCAAGUGAGGACCCUGAAGAGGGUGGGUGGCCAUACUGGGGGCCCUCUGGUGUGUCCAGCAUGCCUCCUUCUCAGCUGCCCCUUUGAGAGAUGGGCAAAGCUGUCUGGGAGGUGGCCGGCAGCAGAAUCUGUUUGCUGAGAGAUGAGUCUGCACCCAGGCUCCUUGUCUAGGAAGCAGGACCGCUGGGUGGGCCCAGUGCUGAGGAGCAGGAGAACUUGGGGGCCUCCCACCAUCUGGACUGAGACCAUCUGGACCAGAGGGGACCAGAGACCAUCUGGAUUUCCUGACAGCCAGGGAAUGGACUCUGGAGCUGGCACUUGGGAGCAGAAAGAUCUUGAGAGGCUGCACAAUUGGCACAAGUCCUGAAAAUAUAUAAGAAAUAAUGUCCCACAGGCUACCCCAAGGAGCAUGCGAGGGUGAUGUAGGGACAGCCUGACUUCGUUUGUGAUUCCAGUGUCUCCCCUGUUUUUCUGACACGGAAGUACGUGGAACCUGUGUUUGGACUGUGCCUAUGUUCCAGGUCCCCUGUUCUGCACAUGAGGACACCUUUGGAUCCAUGUGACCCACUGAGUCCAAUGACAGCCUCAAAGACAGCAUCAGAUUCCCUGAAGAUGUCUGAAGAUGGGGCUGGGGGCCCAGCCACCAGCCCCCCUCUGUGAGGAGAAAGUGGACACAAUAGCAACAGGGGUCAUGUGCAGACCAGGCAGUGUGGGGCCCCAGUCUCAGAGGCCACAUUAGCUUGGUGGCGCAGGGCCUAGGGGCACUGCCUUUGGAAUUUGGGAGCUGGGUGGUUUCAUCCCUCUGGUCUAAUUAUGCACAUGGGGACAUCGAGGCCGGAGGGAGGCAGGAGGGGACCAGAACUUGGGCUGGGGUCUUCCCACCCUUCAGGACACCAAGCCCUGAGCUCCUGGUGGCCCUAUCGCCUGCCACCCCAACAGGGGAACCAGAGGUGGGAAAGACGCUAAGUUGUUAAUGAGAAAUGGCAAAAUAUUAAAAAAAAAAAAAAAAAAGAAAACAGAAACUGCCCAGGCAUAGCCCAGACCAGCACCGGAGUCCCCCCUGUGCCAGGCCAGCCAGCUGGGGAUGCCGUGAGCACAGUUGAAGGUGCUGUGAUUGUGCCCUUUCCCUCUGCUGAGCCUGGGACUUUUGACACCAUCCAUGCACUAAUGAUCUGCUGGUGACUUCUGGGACCAGCUGCCUCCUGUCAUGGGUAUUGGGGAUGCUGAAAACUCACUGAAUGUUUUGGCCAAAGGCACGGGACCAUGCUCUGAUUCCGUGUCCUCUGUCCUUGCACCCAGCCCAGUGGUUCUAGUCUACCCACCCCCAAACUCGUCCACCCACCCCCAAACUUGUCCACUUACCCCUAAACUUGUCCACUUACCCCCAAACCUGUCCCAUCCCUCCCUGCCACCUGCUGACCACCCUGUCCGUACUGCCUACGCCCCCUUCCCACCCUAGGGCCUUUGCACGCCAGUGUCCAUGGCAGGAGCACAGCUGGCUCUUCCACUGGCCAAGGUGCUCUUGAAACUCAGUGGACCCAGCUAGGCUUUCUUCAGCCACCCUAUUUGUCUGCCUCUCACCUAAUGUCACUCUCAUUUUUUUUAAAGGUCUGGUCCCAGGACCAGACCCCUGGCCUUGCCUCGGUGGCCCUGCCUGCACGCUGUGCAGUCUGUAGGUGGCUCGGACACACGGAACUCUUAGAAGUGAGGCUAGGUCUUUCCUGCUCCCUGUUGUGCCCCCAACACUGGGCAUGCAGUGUCAGGGUGAUGGGCAUGCCCUCACACCUGACCCGAGCCCAGCCUGGACAGCAGCAGCAGGGACAGAGAAGGGGCUGUUGGGAGCCAGGGUUAUUUUACCAGCGUUUCUUUAUGGCCAUGCUGAACUGAGUGCUUCAUCUGUGGUACAACAUUAACUUUCUACCUUGAAACUACCAGAACUGUGUGGACAUCAGAUGGUCUAACUGCUGGUUCUGUUUUCCCCCAUCCCAAUAGAACGUCAAAACUCCCUUUUUGUGUGAGUGCAUAUAUGUAUUAUUUUGACCUUUAUCAGUAUCCCUUAUUAGCCUAUACACAUUUGCUAAUUUUACUUGGACUUUUUAAAAUUUUUUGUCAUCUUUAUUUUCUGUUUUGUUUUUUGAGACAGUUUCACUAGGUAGCUCAGGCUGGACUCAAACUCCAGGCGAUCCUCCUGCCUCAGCCUCCUGAGUGCUGAUGGGAUUGUUUUUUCUCCCAGCUGGUGCAGUUGUCUCUUGUAUUCACCUGCUGGUCUCAGUGUUACCAAUAAACUCUUCACUUUUGGUCCCUUGA